GAUGAACGCUGGCGGCGUGCCUAAUACAUGCCAGUCGAGCGAACAGACGAGGAGCUUGCUCCUCUGACGUUAGCGGCGGACGGGUGAGUAACACGUGGAUAACCUACCUAUAAGACUGGGAUAACUUCGGGAAACCGGAGCUAAUACCGGAUAAUAUAUUGAACCGCAUGGUUCAAUAGUGAAAGACGGUUUUGCUGUCACUUAUAGAUGGAUCCGCGCCGCAUUAGCUAGUUGGUAAGGUAACGGCUUACCAAGGCAACGAUGCGUAGCCGACCUGAGAGGGUGAUCGGCCACACUGGAACUGAGACUCGGUCCAGACUCCUACGGGAGGCAGCAGUAGGGAAUCUUCCGCAAUGGGCGAAAGCCUGACGGAGCAACGCCGCGUGAGUGAUGAAGGUCUUCGGAUCGUAAAACUCUGUUAUUAGGGAAGAACAAAUGUGUAAGUAACUAUGCACGUCUUGACGGUACCUAAUCAGAAAGCCACGGCUAACUACGUG
rnacentral:rRNA from 1 species